UAGGGAAUCUUCCGCAAUGGACGAAAGUCUGACGGAGCAACGCCGCGUGAGUGAUGAAGGUUUUCGGAUCGUAAAACUCUGUUGUUAGGGAAGAACAAGUACCGUUCGAAUAGGGCGGCACCUUGACGGUACCUAACCAGAAAGCCACGGCUAACUACGUGCCAGCAGCCGCGGUAAUACGUAGGUGGCAAGCGUUGUCCGGAAUUAUUGGGCGUAAAGCGCGCGCAGGCGGUUUCUUAAGUCUGAUGUGAAAGCCCCCGGCUCAACCGGGGAGGGUCAUUGGAAACUGGGGAACUUGAGUGCAGAAGAGGAGAGUGGAAUUCCACGUGUAGCGGUGAAAUGCGUAGAGAUGUGGAGGAACACCAGUGGCGAAGGCGACUCUCUGGUCUGUAACUGACGCUGAGGCGCGAAAGCGUGGGGAGCGAACAGG
rnacentral:rRNA from 1 species